rnacentral:tRNA from 1 species
AGGGUAAUAGCUCAAUGGUAGAGCGUGUGCUUAGCAUGCACAAGGUCCUGGGUUCAAUCCCCAGUACCUCCA